rnacentral:rRNA from 1 species
UUUGUCGCGUCUGUCGUGAAAGUCCGGGGCUUAACCCCGGAUCUGCGGUGGGUACGGGCAGACUAGAGUGCAGUAGGAGAGACUGGAAUUCCUGGUGUAGCGGUGGAAUGCGCAGAUAUCAGGAGGAACACCGAUGGCGAAGGCAGGUCUCUGGGCUGUAACUGACGCUGAGGAGCGAAAGCAUGGGGAGCGAACAGGAUUAGAUACCCUGGUAGUCCAUGCCGUAAACGUUGGGCACUAGGUGUGGGGACCAUUCCACGGUUUCCGCGCCGCAGCUAACGCAUUAAGUGCCCCGCCUGGGGAGUACGGCCGCAAGGCUAAAACUCAAAGGAAUUGACGGGGGCCCGCACAAGCGGCGGAGCAUGCGGAUUAAUUCGAUGCAACGCGAAGAACCCUACCAAGGCUUGACAUGUUCUCGAUCGCCGUAGAGAUACGGUUUCCCCUUUGGGGCGGGUUCACAGGUGGUGCAUGGUUGUCGUCAGCUCGUGUCGUGAGAUGUUGGGUUAAGUCCCGCAACGAGCGCAACCCUCGUUCCAUGUUGCCAGCACGUCGUGGUGGGGACUCAUGGGAGACUGCCGGGGUCAACUCGGAGGAAGGUGAGGACGACGUCAAAUCAUCAUGCCCCUUAUGUCUUGGGCUUCACGCAUGCUACAAUGGCCGGUACAAUGGGUUGCGAUACUGUGAGGUGGAGCUAAUCCCAAAAAGCCGGUCUCAGUUCGGAUUGGGGUCUGCAACUCGACCCCAUGAAGUCGGAGUCGCUAGUAAUCGCAGAUCAGCAACGCUGCGGUGAAUACGUUCCCGGGCCUUGUACACAUCGCCCGUCAAGUCACGAAAGUUGGUAACACCCGAAGCCGGUGGCCUAACCCUUGUGGGGGGAGCCGUCGAAGGUGGGACCAGCGAUUGGGACUAAGUCGUAACAAGGUAAC